GGGGGCGAUCUGGUUUCGACGGCGGUAUCGAAGUCGAAGGUGCAUGCCGAGAGGGUAGCAACUCUCGUAAAUCCAUUGCUGCAACUGAAAUAGUUGCCAACGACGAAAACUACGCACUAGCCGCUUGAGGCUAACCCCGAUGGCCUGCUGCCCGUGGCGGUCCAUCGGGGGCAAGUUCACGGGAUCGCCGAAGGAGUCGCCCCGCCUCCGGACGCUAGACCUUAGGGGCUCGCCCAAUGGCACCCUGUUCGUCGGGUCGCCCGCGGGCUAAAGCAAUAGACGAAACUAAGCAUGUAGAGCCGACGAUGGAGGACCGACGGACGCGGGUUCGACUCCCGCCGCCUCCACCA
rnacentral:tmRNA from 1 species